UGCCAGACUCCUACGGGAGGCAGCAGUGGGGAAUAUUGCUCAAUGGGGGAAACCCUGAAGCAGCAACGCCGCGUGGAGGAUGAAGGUUUUCGGAUUGUAAACUCCUUUUGUUAGAGAAGAUAAUGACGGUAUCUAACGAAUAAGCACCGGCUAACUCCGUGCCAGCAGCCGCGGUAAUACGGGGGGUGCAAGCGUUGUCCGGAAUCAUUGGGCAUAAAGCGUUCGUAGGCGGUAUGUCAAGUCUGAUGUUAAAGCCCGGGGCUCAACUCCGGUUCGGCAUUGGAUACUGGCAAACUAGAAUGUGGUAGAGGUAAAGGGAAUUCCUGGUGUAGCGGUGAAAUGCGUAGAUAUCAGGAGGAACAUCGGUGGCGAAAGCGCUUUACUGGACCAUUAUUGACGCUGAGGAACGAAAGCCAGGGGAGCAAAUGGGAUUAGAUACCCCAGUA
rnacentral:rRNA from 1 species